CCCUUAGACACUCUAGGCGGCACGCGCGCUACAAUGGGUGGAAGAACGUGUUACUGCCUCCGAAAGGAGGGGUGAAUCACGAAUUCUUGCCCGUGAAUGGGAUAGUUUGUUGCAAUUUUCGGACUUGAACUAGGAAUCCCUUGUAAACAUGCUCAAGAAUAGCGUGUUGAAUACGUCCCUGCCGUUUGUACACACCGCCCGUCUUUUCUUCCGACUGAUACUCAUUGUGAGUUGCAAGGACCCUUUAUUGGGAAAUUGCUGCAAAUGCUUUGUAUUGGAGGAAGAAAAAGUCGUAACA
rnacentral:rRNA from 1 species